rnacentral:rRNA from 1 species
CCUACGGGGGGCUGCAGUGGGGAAUAUUGGACAAUGGGGGGAACCCUGAUCCAGCCAUGCCGCGUGUGUGAAGAAGGCCCUCGGGUUGUAAAGCACUUUCAGUGAGGAAGAACGCCUGGUGGUUAAUACCCAUCAGGAAAGACAUCACUCACAGAAGAAGCACCGGCUAACUCCGUGCCAGCAGCCGCGGUAAUACGGAGGGUGCGAGCGUUAAUCGGAAUUACUGGGCGUAAAGCGCGCGUAGGUGGCUUGAUAAGCCGGUUGUGAAAGCCCCGGGCUCAACCGGGGAACGGCAUCCGGAACUGUCAAGCUAGAGUGCAGGAGAGGAAGGUAGAAUUCCCGGUGUAGCGGUGAAAUGCGUAGAGAUCGGGAGGAAUACCAGUGGCGAAGGCGGCCUUCUGGACUGACACUGACACUGAGGUGCGAAAGCGUGGGUAGCAAACAGGAUUAGAUACCCUGGUAGUC